GGCCCGUUGGUCAAGCGGUUAAGACACCGCCCUUUCACGGCGGUAUCGAUUCCCGGACGGGUCACCA
rnacentral:tRNA from 1 species